GUCCAAAGGUCUGAUCCAAAAUCCAUUGAAGUCAAUGCAGAUCUUUCUACUGACUUCACUGGGCUUUGGAUCAGUCCAUCAGUGC
rnacentral:pre_miRNA from 1 species